GCACUGCCGAGGAGUUCAAUACUAGGACGAAACGGCCGUCCAGUGC
rfam:Schistosoma mattheei strain Denwood, Zambia genome assembly, scaffold: SMTD_scaffold0002597